ensembl:lncRNA
CCAGUGUGUGUUUUAUAACCCUGCUCAAACUAAGCCAUCUUGUAGGCACAUGCCUGACUAUUUUUAGUGGCUGCGCUCCUGCAAGUAUGGCAAAGUCCUUUAGCAUUGGCUACUCACUAGGGGCUACUUGAAAAGUAGCAAAAGAUGUCAGUUGCUGGAAUUCUGACUGAAAAUAAUAAUACCUGGAUUUCAGAUUAGCUGCACAGAUUUGCCAAAGUGCAAAUGAAGUCAGCUCUGGCAAUGUGACGAUACACUGAUUGCUGCCUUCAGCCAUGAAAGUGCAGGAUCUGACUGUGUUUUAUUUUCAUCACCAUUGCUACAGCGUUACUUUACAGGUAUUCCGUCGCUUGUGGGAAUGCUGGUUUUCUAGGGUGUCCAUCUGGGAAUCAAGCGUUUCUCCUCCAGCUCCAAGCAGGCACUGUGGCAUAUCCAGAGAACCUAUAACUGACAUGGCCCAUUAGUCAUAGAAACAUCCCACUAAAAUUAGCGGCAGCUUUUCAUCUUUAUGGGCCUCAUGCCUCGGUCCAUAUGUAGAACAUACAAAAUGGAUUUUUCUUUUCUUGGCAUGUAACCCUGUCUUUCCGGUACUUUGGUUCCAGACCUUCAUGAGCAAUGCAGGUGGCUUUUGUUGCUCCACAGCUCAUAUUCUUGACAGUUACUGCAUCUACACAAUACUUCUGGAUUCAGCCAGGCUGAAACAUUCUCACAAACAGUUACUUAAGAUUACCAGCAUUAGCACAUAAAUAUAAUAGUAAUUAAUAAUACUUUGGCUUCUUGAAGAUCCCCUGUGCUGCUCUGUUGGCUCUAUUUCAACAGCACCUAAAAAGCCUGCAGCGAGGGCUCCCCCCAUCCCCAUCUUGUUUUUAAACUUUGUUUCUAAGGCGUACAACAAAGGUACAGCCAAAAGCUACUGAGAUUUUCACUCUCAGAGCCCAAGUUUUCCACAGUCAGCUCAUGUUUGGGACUGUAACUGUUUAUUCAUUUGUUGGGUCCCAGCUGGAGACAGUUCAGACUUGAUUUUUGGAGGUGCUGGCCACUUAACAACUUCCACACGAGCCAAGGGGAGCUGUGAUUGUGCAGUGCUGUGUUGAAUGUGGCUUCUGUUGUUUGAAAUGAGCAUGCUGUACCAGAAGCCAUUUUGAUGGUGUUUACCCCAUCUUUAUUCUGAGUCUAAAUUUAUAACAAACAGUGGCCUGAAUUAUUUCUGUGUCAGUCACUGCCUUUGUGAACUUUUUUAAAGGAUCCAAACAGAUGCUUUAUUUUGUGAAUAUAUAUCAAAAAGAAAAACCAAGAGUUCUCAACCAUGCCAUCCUAUCUAAGUUUCUUGUUUGCACCUCAGCGUACAGGUUGAACACUGAAUAAGGCUCACACGUACUCAUGAAAUGGUUACUCUUCAAGCCGGAGUCAGGUGGUGGUAAGACUUUUGCAAUCCCACUGCUUUACCUGGCUUAUGAACUCAGGAUUUUAUUUAACAGUGUAAUCCAUAUUCAAGCCUUCCAAUACAUUUUAUCUACUCAGAAAAGACAACAGCAUACCUGAUUGCCCUAGCUGAAAUCUCAAAGCUGUAUUUCCCAUUUGGCAAAGACAAAAAUGAAAUAGAGCUGCUUGGAUAAAACUGAAAUCAGUAUUUUGAUCUAACUAAUAGCACAGGUAUCACUUUUGUGUCAUAUUAUGCAAUGGGAUGCAAUGAGAAUACUGGUUGGACCCAUCCAGAAACAGAAAAGGUGAUUCAUUCUGGUUUGGAAAGAAACACCAGUGUGUCUUGGUGUUGCUAAUAAAAGCUUUUAGGGUUUUGCUCCCUGCAGCCUUCAUGGCAGCAAUCAGCAGUGCUUCUGUUAGCUCAUUAUCAGCAUUGCUGGCAGUACAGGGAGCAGCGAUUGCACAUUCUGAUUAUUAUUGUCAUUGUAACACUUUAAGUCUCCUUUUACAAAGGAUUUACAAGCAGCAUUAGAGACAGUAUUCAAUAGAAGCUGUUACAGGAUUGCAGCUUAACUAUGCAGACUGAUUAGCCUUUUAUUGACAGCCUAUGAAAAGUUUACUAACCAGUAAACUAACAGUUUAUUAACUGUUUGUAAAUGGAGUUGAAGUAUUCAGACUCAUAGGUCUGAAGAACAUGAGAGACUAUUCUGAAGAUACAGUCCAGCUUCCCCCAGAAUACAGGUCGUACGUUGCCAGAAGAGUCCUACAGUGAGCCAGCAGUUUCUGGACGAGGUAGUGCAUCUUUCCUAGAAAACUAUCCAUUCUGGACCUGAAGUUCUCAAGAAUAACAGAUGAAUACUUAAACCUGUUUUUAAAAACAAAACAAAACAAAAAACCCAGAACUCAUGCUGUUCCGGAUUUCAGUUAUUGAGUAGCUUGUGGCAUUAAAGAUAUUUCCAUUAUUGCAGCCUUCCCCUCUUUCUGUCACUUCUUCUUUCAUUUGACCUAUAUUCUAUGUUCUAUAUACAGCAAAAGUCAUUACCUAACAUUUAGGUUUUGGUAGGAUCUGAGCUCCAUCCAAGCCAGUGUUCAGUCAUGCUGAUCUUAUAUGAGCAAAUGUAGCACAUCCUUCCAAAGAUUACAUAGGCAACAUAUAAAAGAUGGAUAAAAAACCUUGGAGGUUGGCCAUGGAGAAGAAAGUAAAGGAGUAAUGUGCAGCUCUGAGCCACUCAAAUGUUAUGGUGAGAUAUUUCGCCAGCACAGCACCUGCAUGGGUACAUCCCUUUGGAGACCCCUCAGAAAAAUGUCUCUCCUUCCCCCACCAAAAUGGUGGCCAAUCUGACUUUUCUGGCCUACAUGAUUCAUUUGAAAUAGUAAUAAUAAUUAAUAAGAUAAUAUCAAUAAUAAUAACAAAUAACAAAGCUAAAAUGGGGGGGGAGGGGGAUCAAAGACAAAGUCUCCGUAUACUUGUCCUUGUACAGUAGUGAGUAGUGGUGUAGCUGAUAAGAAAUGUGUGCUUUUCCCACAUCAGCGGUGUUCCCGUAUUCACGAGCUGUGCAUUAUUGCCUUCAUUUCCUAUGAGGCCACACUGCCUUCCCAGCUCCCUCCUACGCUUCUUUUUUUGCAAGCUGCCUUUGCAGGGCUUUUCAGAGCACACAGAGUUGCCUAACAUAGAAACCCCAAGGUCCUCUUCAGAUUGUCUCACAAAGGAACUUGGAUGGAUCCCCUUCUUUUUUUUCUUGAAUAAAUGAGAGAUAUUCUGCCUAUUUUUUGCUAAGGUGUUUAGAAACAGUAAAGCUGGGAGCUGAAGGGCGCUGGCAGGCUGGGUCAAGGCAGUGUGCUUACUGCAAUGGUAUUCUCUCUCCAGCUGUUUCUGCUUCCCUGUAAUUUGUUCAGGAUUUGCUUCAGGACCUCUGGGUUCACCUUCUGUGAAAUAUUUAUUAAUUCUUCUUUUUUUUUUUUUUUUUUUCUUCUCCCUCUGAGAGAAAUGAUCCUCCUCCUCCUCCUCUCUUCUUAAAAAGAGAAUAAUUUGCCACUGGAUUGGAAACAAAUGAGUACCACGUUGUCAGGGCAGGUCUAUCUGAUUCCCAGAUAUGUUCCUUGCAAUUGCUAAUUCUUUUCAUCAUGAAAAUGGCAGAGGUGAAAUAACAAGUAUUCACAGAGCUCAUUUAACGGAGAAGGAACUGAAAAAUAGUGGUCUGGAUUCAUUCCUCUUCUAUUUAGAAGUUCAGCUUGGCGUGCUUGCAGUAUGUAUGCUACACGAUAUGGAAGUACUUACCCCAAAGAAAUGAGGAAUGUAGAGUCUUCAUCCUGGGAAAGAUCUGGUAGAGGUGUGUACAACUGUCCCUCAGAGAAGCUGAAUUGGAAACAGCUGAUCACAUUCUCUCACUUUUAUCAAGAGUGGAACUCAUCAACUGAAAUAAACUCGUGGUGGAUUCCAAAGAAACAUGAGAGUUGCCUAAUGGUAAGGAAUUAAAUUUCAGAACUCAUUGCCUUGGGAUGCAGGGAUGGCUUCAGAGAGAUUAAGUACAUCUGCAACAUAACGAUUAUUCAAAGGCUGAUUUCAGACUUGGGACUCUGGACAGUUGUGAAUAUUUGGUCUGAAUCAGGAUGACCAUACAUACACUCUUUGUUUUGUUCUUCUGAAUGAGUGCCUGAGCAAUCAUUGAGGGACAUAGGAAGCUUGACUUCCAGCCAGCCAUACCAGUGAUUUCUCUGAAGGUGGCAUGAAGGACUCAAAGCAUUGCCCCACGUCAUUCAAGAGAUCUGUGGUGCAGCAGGGUAACUCAGCUCUACAGCUAGCAACUGAAAACAUCCAUCAUGUCUACUCAGCAUUUUUUUGACUUACACAGCUUUACCCCAGAGCUCAAGCAAUUAUUUGCAGCCUGAAAAAAAGGGCAGCUACAGUCACUCGUAAGAUUUGGUCUCCUGCAUGGCUAUACAGGAGACUUCAGUCAUCUUGUGGGCACAAAUACAGUUUCUGAAUUGUGAGUGUAUAUAUGUAUGUUAUCAUACUCUUUCACUGUGAAAGUAGUAACUACUGUAUGUGGUAAAAUGAUAUAUUGUUGUCCGCAGAAUGUCUUUGGCAACAGGAUGUUCACUAGCCUUGGAAUUUUGCCUUGUAUAAAUAUUUUUAAUCUACUCCAUGUAGGCAUAUUUUGGCU